CGAGAACUCUGCAGGUUCAGGUGUUGAAUGUUCAUUCAGUUCUCGAAUUAUGAGCAGAGUGUCUGAAGUAGGUAAUUUGCCUCACUGGCUCAAGGAAGUGGUUGCAAUCCCACCCAGGCCUCCUGGAUUUGCCCCAGAUUCUUCAUGGUUUAUCCAUCCAUGGAUUGGUCCACCGUUUUCUGAACCUAAGCGAGCUCAUUGUGAAUCAAGGAACAGAUUGAGCGACUUGUACACUACACCAAAAACUGAGCUGAAUAAUGGUAAUGCUGAUUGUGCUCAUCUCCCUAUAAGAGAAGGGAAGCAACAUUGUAAGUCAGAAGCAGAUAAAAAAGUUGAGCUGAUUGUCAUCAAUAGCGACGCCUCAUCAGAGGAGACGAUAUCAGAUGAUUGUAAUGUAAGGCAUUAGCUUAAGUUGGG
rnacentral:misc_RNA from 1 species